GAUGAACGCUGGCGGCGUGCCUAAUACAUGCAAGUCGAGCGAACGGACGAGAAGCUUGCUUCUCUGAUGUUAGCGGCGGACGGGUGAGUAACACGUGGAUAACCUACCUAUAAGACUGGGAUAACUUCGGGAAACCGUAGCUAAUACCGGAUAAUAUUUUGAACCGCAUGGUUCAAAAGUGAAAGACGGUCUUGCUGUCACUUAUAGAUGGAUCCGCGCUGCAUUAGCUAGUUGGUAAGGUAACGGCUUACCAAGGCAACGAUGCAUAGCCGACCUGAGAGGGUGAUCGGCCACACUGGAACUGAGCCACGGUCCAGACUCCUACGGGAGGCAGCAGUAGGGAAUCUUCCGCAAAGGGCGAAAGCCUGACGGAGCAACGCCGCGUGAGUGAUGAAGGUCUUCGGAUCGUAAAACUCUGUUAUUAGGGAAGAACAUAUGUGUAAGUAACUGUGCACAUCUUGACGGUACCUAAUCAGAAAGCCACGGCUAACUACGUG
rnacentral:rRNA from 1 species